rnacentral:rRNA from 1 species
UUGGUUAAGUUAGAAAGGGCGCACGGUGGAUGCCUUGGCACUAGGAGCCGAAGAAGGACGGGACUAACACCGAUAUGCUUUGGGGAGCUGUACGUAAGCGUUGAUCCAGAGAUUUCCGAAUGGGGGAACCCACUAUCUUUAGUCGGAUAGUAUCCUUACGUGAAUACAUAGCGUGAGGAAGGCAGACCCAGGGAACUGAAACAUCUAAGUACCUGGAGGAAGAGAAAGAAAAAUCGAUUUCCUGAGUAGCGGCGAGCGAAACGGAAAGAGCCCAAACCAAGAAGCUUGCUUCUUGGGGUUGUAGGACACUCUAUACGGAGUUACAAAAGAAAGUUAUAAAUGAAGCGGUCUGGAAAGGCCCGCCAAAGACGGUAACAGCCCGGUAGUUGAAAUGGCUUUCCCUCCAGAGUGGAUCCUGAGUACGGCGGAACACGUGAAAUUCCGUCGGAAUCCGGGAGGACCAUCUCCCAAGGCUAAAUACUCCCUAGUGACCGAUAGUGAACCAGUACCGUGAGGGAAAGGUGAAAAGCACCCCGGAAGGGGAGUGAAACAGUUCCUGAAACCGUGUGCCUACAAGUAGUUAGAGCCCGUUAAUGGGUGAUAGCGUGCCUUUUGUAGAAUGAACCGGCGAGUUACGAUUUGUUGCAAGGUUAAGCGGAAAAAGCGGAGCCGUAGCGAAAGCGAGUCUGAAUAGGGCGCAUAAGUAACAGGUCGUAGACCCGAAACCAGGUGAUCUACCCAUGUCCAGGAUGAAGGUAAGGUAAUACUUACUGGAGGUCCGAACCCACGCACGUUGAAAAGUGCGGGGAUGAGGUGUGGGUAGCGGAGAAAUUCCAAUCGAACUUGGAGAUAGCUGGUUCUCUCCGAAAUAGCUUUAGGGCUAGCCUCGAGGUAAAGAGUCAUGGAGGUAGAGCACUGUUUGGACUAGGGGCCCUUCUCGGGUUACCGAAUUCAGAUAAACUCCGAAUGCCAUGUACUUAUACUCGGGAGUCAGACUGCGAGUGAUAAGAUCCGUAGUCGAAAGGGAAACAGCCCAGACCACCAGUUAAGGUCCCCAAAUAUAUGUUAAGUGGAAAAGGAUGUGGGGUUGCUUAGACAACCAGGAUGUUGGCUUAGAAGCAGCCACCAUUGAAAGAGUGCGUAAUAGCUCACUGGUCGAGUGACCCCGCGCCGAAAAUGUACCGGGGCUAAACAUAUUACCGAAACUGUGGAUGAACCUCUUUAGAGGUUCGUGGUAGGAGAGCGUUCUAAGGGCGGUGAAGUCAGACCGGAAGGACUGGUGGAGCGCUUAGAAGUGAGAAUGCCGGUAUGAGUAGCGAAAGAAGGGUGAGAAUCCCUUCCACCGAAUAUCUAAGGUUUCCUGAGGAAGGCUCGUCCGCUCAGGGUUAGUCGGGACCUAAGCCGAGGCCGAUAGGCGUAGGCGAUGGACAACAGGUAGAGAUUCCUGUACCAGUGCUAAUUGUUUAACCGAUGGGGUGACACAGAAGGAUAGGGAAUCGCACGAAUGGAAAUGUGCGUCCAAGCAGUGAGUGUGAGAAGUAGGCAAAUCCGCUUCUCGCGAAGCAUGAGCUGUGAUGGGGAAGGAAAUUAAGUACGGAAGUUCCUGAUUUCACGCUGUCAAGAAAAGCCUCUAGGAAGAGUAGUACUGCCCGUACCGCAAACCGACACAGGUAGAUGAGGAGAGAAUCCUAAGGUGAGCGAGAGAACUCUCGUUAAGGAACUCGGCAAAAUGACCCCGUAACUUCGGGAGAAGGGGUGCUCUAUUAGGGUGCAAGCCCGAGAGAGCCGCAGUGAAUAGGCCCAGGCGACUGUUUAGCAAAAACACAGGUCUCUGCAAAACCGUAAGGUGACGUAUAGGGGCUGACGCCUGCCCGGUGCUGGAAGGUUAAGAGGAGUGCUUAGCUUCGGCGAAGGUACGAAUUGAAGCCCCAGUAAACGGCGGCCGUAACUAUAACGGUCCUAAGGUAGCGAAAUUCCUUGUCGGGUAAGUUCCGACCCGCACGAAAGGCGCAACGAUCUGGGCACUGUCUCAACGAGAGACUCGGUGAAAUUAUAGUACCUGUGAAGAUGCAGGUUACCCGCGACAGGACGGAAAGACCCCGUGGAGCUUUACUGCAACCUGAUAUGGAAUGUUUGUACCGCUUGUACAGGAUAGGUAGGAGCCGAAGAGACGUGUGCGCUAGCAUACGAGGAGGCAAUGGUGGGAUACUACCCUGGCUGUAUGACCAUUCUAACCCGCCACGCUUAGCGCGUGGGGAGACAGUGUCAGGUGGGCAGUUUGACUGGGGCGGUCGCCUCCUAAAGAGUAACGGAGGCGCCCAAAGGUUCCCUCAGAAUGGAUGGA